rnacentral:rRNA from 1 species
GGUACGGUGAAAUGCGUAGACGAUCAGGAAGAACGAUCGGUGGCGAAGGCGCUCUGCUGGACCAUAACUGACACUCAGGGACGAAAGCUAGGGGAGCGAAUGGGAUUAGAUACCCCAGUAGUCCUAGCCGUAAACGAUGGAUACUAGGUGUUGUCUGUAUCGACCCGGACAGUGCCGUAGCUAACGCGUUAAGUAUCCCGCCUGGGGAGUACGCACGCAAGUGUGAAACUCAAAGGAAUUGACGGGGCCCGCACAAGCGGUGGAGUAUGUGGUUUAAAUUCGAAGCAACGCGAAGAACCUUACCAGGUCUUGACAUCUAGUGCCAUCCUAAGAGAUUAGGAGUUCCCUUCGGGGACGCUAAGACAGGUGCUGCAUGGCUGUCGUCAGCUCGUGUCGUGAGAUGUUGGGUUAAGUCCCGCAACGAGCGCAACCCUUGUUAUUAGUUGCCAGCAUUAAGUUGGGCACUCUAGACUGACUGCCGGUGACAAACCGGAGGAAGGUGGGGACGACGUCAAAUCAUCAUGCCCCUUAUGAUUUG